GACCUUAAAUGAAAUUCUCCACAGUCCUUGCCAACUUGAUCAAACCAAUUCACUCCACCAUGGUACAAGCAUUUUGAUUUUGUUAAAUCGGCGUCCUCAUGAUAAUCCUCAUAUAAGGAAGAAGACAUAGCUCCAUGGCAAGAGCUCUGGAAUUGGAAUUGGAGGGUCUGAGUCCAAACUGAAUCACUAUCCUUACCGCCAAUGCAUGUCAACAACUGUUCCGCAACUUAGCACCUCCAAGAGUUGCCAGAAUGGUUCGGUACAGCAAGAGCAAUCUUUCAAGUCAGGAAGACCUAAGAACAAGUAAUCCACCUUCCUGUCCUGGGACUCAGUUGCUUCAUCUGAAAAAUGAGACAUUGGCUACAUGAUUCCUAAGGCCCAGAUACAUCCCUCAACAGCAGAUUCAAACUGCUUUCCCCACAGUCACUUGAAGUCUGACUUGGUAGAUGAACUCAUCUCUGUUUCCUCUAGGAUGAAACAAAAAGACCCUCCACAAACUGGCUCCAACCUAUCUCUCCAGCCUUAUUUCACAUUCCUCCCUUAUCUUGCAAUCUAGCUUCCAGCCAAAUUCGUCAGAUCUGAGAUU